GGGGGGAUCUUCGGACCUCUCGCUAAUAGAUGAGCCUAGGCCGGAUUAGCUAGUUGGUAGGGUAAAGGCCUACCAAGGCGACGAUCUGUAGCUGGUCUGAGAGGAUGGCCAGCCACACUGGAACUGAGACACGGUCCAGACUCCGUACGGGAGGCAGCAGGUGGGGAAUAUUGGACAAUGGGGGCAACCCUGAUCCAGCCAUGCCGCGUGUGUGAAGAAGGCCUUCGGGUUGUAAAGCACUUUAAGCGAGGAGGAAGGUUUUUAGUUUAAUACACUAAAGAAUUGACGUUACUCGCAAAAUAAGCACCGGCUAACUCCGUG
rnacentral:rRNA from 1 species